rnacentral:rRNA from 1 species
AUGUCACAUUCCGUAAAUAUUUACGAUACAUUUAUAGGAUGCACUCAAUGUGUACGAGCUUGUCCAACAGAUGUAUUAGAAAUGAUACCCUGGGAUUGAUGUAAAGCCAAGGAAAUUGCUUCCGCGCCGAGAACCGAAGAUUGUGUAGGUUGUAAGAGAUGUGAAUCUGCCUGCCCAACAGAUUUUUUAAGUGUCUGCAUUUAUUUAGGGCCUGAAACAACACGUAGCAUGGCUCUAUCUUAUUUAUACGUUACAAAAAACUUCACUCGAAUGGUCUAA